GAUGAACGCUAGCGGGAGGCCUAACACAUGCAAGCCGAGCGGUAUUGUUUCUUCGGACAUGAGAGAGCGGCGUACGGGUGCGUAACACGUGUGCAACCUGCCUUUAUCUGGGGGAUAGCCUUUCGAAAGGAAGAUUAAUACUCCAUAACAUAUUGAACGGCAUCGUUUAAUACUGAAAGCUCCGGCGGAUAGAGAUGGGCACGCGCAAGAUGAGCUAGUUGGUGAGGUAACGGCUCACCAAGGCGAUGAUCUUUAGGGGGCCUGAGCGGGUGAUCCCCCACACUGGUACUGAGACACGGACCAGACUCCUACGGGAGGCAGCAGUGAGGAAUAUUGGACAAUGGGUGAAAGCCUGAUCCAGCCAUCCCGCGUGAAGGACGACUGCCCUAUGGGUUGUAAACUUCUUUUGUAUAGGGAUAAACCUACCCUCGUGAGGGUAGCUGAAGGUACUAUACGAAUAAGCACCGGCUAACUCCGUGCCAGCCGCCGCGGUAAAAC
rnacentral:rRNA from 1 species